rnacentral:rRNA from 1 species
AUUGAACGCUGGCGGCAUGCUUUGCACAUGCAAGUCGAACGGUAACAGGGUGCUUGCACCGCUGACGAGUGGCGAACGGGUGAGUAAUGCGUCGGAACGCACCGAGUAAUGGGGGAUAACGCAGCGAAAGCUGUGCUAAUACCGCGUACGCUCUGAGGAGGAAAGCGGGGGACCUUUGGGCCUCGCGUUAUUCGAGCGGCCGACGUCUGAUUAGCUAGUAGGUGGGGUAAGAGCUCACCUAGGCGACGAUCAGUAGCGGGUCCGAGAGGAUGAUCCGCCACACCGGGACUGAGACACGGCCCAGACUCAUACGGGAGGCAGCAGUGGGGAAUUUUGGACAAUGGGCGCAAGCCUGAUUCAGCCAUGCCGCGUGUCUGAAGAAGGCCUUCGGGUUGUAAAGGACUUUUGUCAGGGAGGAAAUCCUUAGCGCUAAUACCGCUGAGGGAUAACAGUACCUGAAGAAUAAGCACCGGCUAACUACGUGCCAGCAGCCGCCGUAACAC